GGAAGGGUGACUGACCGUGGAAAGGAAGCGUGGAGCGAAACCGUGAGCCGAUGAACAAGAACCGGAUAGAAGGCGUUGCCGAUCAGGGCGAGCGGGCCAUAAACCGCGAAGCUCUUGUGGUCAAAGGAGAGGCAACGUAGAUCCGGCGGUUGUGCGGUGAAGGAGUGCGCUC
rnacentral:ncRNA from 1 species